rnacentral:rRNA from 1 species
GAUGAACGCUGGCGGCGUGGAUAAGGCAUGCAAGUCGAACGACCCGCAUUUAUGUGGGGAGUGGCAAACGGGGUAGUAACAGGUAGGAACGUACCUAGAUCUCGGGGAUAACGCAGAGAAAUCUGUGCUAAUACCCGAUAGUCUCGCAAGAGUAAAGCUUUCGCGGAUCUAGAUCGGCCUGCUUCGUAUCAGCUAGUUGGUAAGGUAAUGGCUUACCAAGGCUAUGACGCGUAGGGGAGGUGAGAGCCUGACCCCCACCAUUGGCACUGCGACACGGGCCAAACACCUACGGGUGGCUGCAGUCGAGAAUCUUCCGCAAUGGACGAAAGUCUGACGGAGCGACGCCGCGUGGUUGAUGAAGCACUUCGGUGUGUAAAGACCUUUUAUACGUGAAGAAAUUUUUGACAUUAGCGUAUGAAUAAGGGGCUCCUAAUCUCG